rnacentral:lncRNA from 1 species
AAAUAAACAGAAUUUCUUGCCGAAUAGAUACCCGCUCAAGUUAUGAUCUAGGAGUGAUAUCCUACUCAUCCUAUGCAACCAUCAGCUGCAUCAACUUCAUUCCAAAAUUAACAAAUAAACCAACUGACGCAUUGCAAAUAAUAAGAUGAAACGAUAAAAUAAACCUAGAGAUCAAACAACACAAGGUAAUAUAUUAAAAAGCCUAUGGGAUCAAAACACAUCGUACUAUGUCGAGAGAGAUGACGACUCCUCCAACAGCAGAAAAUAAAUUCUUUCAUUCAUUAAUUUAAAGUAAAUUUGGUGCUCCAUCUUCUUCUCCGUCACCUAUUACCACCUCUGUCAUUGCCCUGCAUCCAGCUACCUUCAUUGAUACGAGCCGCACUAGACUUUCUGCUGUAGUGGACGGAUGUUACAAUUCCUUGCAAUGGAAAAUCAACAGUUCUGUUAGAUUCCCAAAAGAUAUAGAUGAUCAUGGGAAUAGACUUAAAUGCUUGUAAAAUAGUCGUAGAAUGUCAAGAUAUUUAAAAUGGAGUCCAGUUUGGAGUUGCUUCAAUGAUUAAGUCUGGACAGGAUUAACCAUUUUAUCAGUGCCUACUUCCCCACUUGUUUUUAGCAGUAUCCGGCUUGAUUUAAGAAUCUCUUUGUAUGAACUAUAUUACCCAAAAAAAAAAAAAAUCUUAUUUCAAAUGAUGCACAGGAGAAGAGUUACUUGAAUCUUCAUCAGUAUCCAGACAUUCUACAAUCACAGAGUAAAGAGUUCUAGCAGGAAAAACUGAGAAAACAACGUACUUCUAUAGUUUUUCACAAUAUUUCCAACGUUUUCAAACAAUAUUUCCACAAUAUAGUUUUUCAUAGCGAAGAGUUUUGCUUUGGUGGUCUAAGGAUUUGUUCUAGGCAUAAUGCUCUGAUUAGAUUUUGUUUAUUUUUAAUUUUUUAUCCGAUGAAUGAUUUUCAGCUGGUCUUAAUUAUGUGUUCAUAGGGAAGAGCAUUUGGAAAGAUCAUCAAAAAAAAAAAAAAAAAAAGUUUCCAAAGAAAGAUAGGUGUGAAGCAAACCAAACUAAAUGAACAAACUAAAAUAACAGAACAGCAAUGAUGUUUUCAAGGAAUUAUAAAAUAUGAAGGCUUUUAAUGAAAUUUUAUCAUACAAAGUAUGCAAGGAAUUAUAAAAUUUUAGAAAACAAGGGGAACUCUCAAAAAAAGAAAAAAAGAAAAAAAUACUCAAAUUAAACUAGACUAGAAGACAUUCAAUGAUGCAAAAUCUGUCCACAAAAGUCUGAACGAAUCAUUAAAAUUGCAUUCCAAAUUUAACAGUAAGCCGAUUGACCCAUUCUAAAUAAUUCAUAUGAAAUUGCGAAACAAGCCAUGAGAUCAAAUAAAUGAAAUAAAAAAUAAUUACCAGCUGAGGCUUUCUUCUAAAAUUCACAAC